rnacentral:sRNA from 2 species
CAUUGGGGAGUAGCCUGCCUUGCCCUGUGAUCAGCGGUGCAAGGCGCCUGCAUCAACAUGCUUGGCCCUAGGCCAUGGUACAGGCAACCGCCAUGCGGUC